GUAAUAGUUAUGUUCUUGAAACUUAAAAAAUUUGGCGGUAUUUUAGUCUAUUCAGAGGAACUUGUCCUAUAAUUGAUAAUCCACGUUGGACCUUACUUAAAUUUGUAAUCAGUUUAUAUACCGUCGUUAACAGAAUAUUUUAAAAGAAUAAUAAUUUUCUUAAAUUUUUAAAUGAUUUUAUUUCAGAUCAAGGUGUAGCUUAUAUUUAAGUAGAGAUGAGUUACAUUAAAUAUAUUUAUAUGGAUAUAAAUAUGAAAAAUUUAUUGAAAGUGGAUUUGGAAGUAAAUUUAUAAAGAU
rnacentral:rRNA from 1 species